AUUGAACGCUGGCGGCAUGCCUUACACAUGCAAGUCGAACGGCAGCGGGGACUUCGGUCCGCCGGCGAGUGGCGAACGGGUGAGUAAUGUAUCGGAACGUACCAUUCAGUGGGGGAUAACUAUCCGAAAGGAUAGCUAAUACCGCAUAUUCUGUGAGCAGGAAAGCAGGGGAUCGCAAGACCUUGCGCUGAUUGAGCGGCCGAUAUCAGAUUAGCUAGUUGGUGAGGUAACGGCUCACCAAGGCUACGAUCUGUAGCGGGUCUGAGAGGAUGGUCCGCCACACUGGGACUGGGACACGGCCCAGACUCCUACGGGAGGCAGCAGUGGGGAAUUUUGGACAAUGGGCGCAAGCCUGAUCCAGCCAUGCCGCGUGAGUGAAGAAGGCCUUCGGGUUGUAAAGCUCUUUCGGCCGGGAAGAAAUCGCAUCAGCUAAUACCUGGUGUGGAUGACGGUACCGGAAUAAGAAGCACCGGCUAACUACGUGCCAGCCGCCGCCGUAAAAC
rnacentral:rRNA from 1 species